GAGCGAAAAGUUUCGAUUGCGCAUAAUGCUGAAUAUAACAAAAAUGCAAGACCAACAUCAGGUGGUGGUCGAAAUACCAAGAGAUCAGCAGCAAUUGCUGCGCGACGUAGA
rnacentral:ribozyme from 1 species